CAUGCAAGUCGAGCGGUAAGGCCCUUCGGGGUACACGAGCGGCGAACGGGUGAGUAACACGUGGGUGAUCUGCCUCGCACUCUGGGAUAAGCCUGGGAAACUGGGUCUAAUACCGGAUAUGACCUUACAUCGCAUGGUGUUUGGUGGAAAGAUUUAUCGGUGCGAGAUGGGCCCGCGGCCUAUCAGCUUGUUGGUGGGGUAAUGGCCUACCAAGGCGACGACGGGUAGCCGGCCUGAGAGGGCGACCGGCCACACUGGGACUGAGACACGGCCCAGACUCCUACGGGAGGCAGCAGUGGGGAAUAUUGCACAAUGGGCGAAAGCCUGAUGCAGCGACGCCGCGUGAGGGAUGACGGCCUUCGGGUUGUAAACCUCUUUCGACAGGGACGAAGCGCAAGUGACGGUACCUGUAGAAGAAGCACCGGCCAACUACGUGCCAGCAGCCGCGGUAAUACGUAGGGUGCGAGCGUUGUCCGGAAUUACUGGGCGUAAAGAGCUUGUAGGCGGCUUGUCGCGUCGAUCGUGAAAACUUGGGGCUCAACCCCAAGCUUGCGGUCGAUACGGGCAGGCUUGAGUACUUCAGGGGAGACUGGAAUUCCUGGUGUAGCGGUGAAAUGCGCAGAUAUCA
rnacentral:rRNA from 1 species